AUGAACCAACCAACGCCUAAAAACAAGCACCUCAAACCCCUCAGCGCACCUAGCAACAUGGUGAGCAAGCACCUCAAACCCCUCUACCAGCUGGUCGUGAACAACUUCCUCAUCGUCGUCGUGGCACCAGUCACAGCCCUCGUCGUUCUCCGCAAAGCCGCGCAACUCGGCCCCGACGAGCUGCUCUCCCGGCUCCAUGGGCUGCGGCAGGUCCAUGUCUUCCUCGCUGUCUUCCUACCGAUCGCCAUAGCCACCCUCUACUUCAUGCGCCGCCCUCGUAGCGUGUACCUCGUGGACUACGCCUGCUGCCGGCCUAAAUCCAAUUGCCGCGUAUCCAUAGGCUCCUUCAUCGAGAGCGCCCGUCUGUCACCGUACAUCGACGACGGCACCUUCCAUUUCAUGUCGCGCAUGCUGCAGCGCUCGGGCCUGGGCGACCAGACCUACCUCCACCCUUCGCUGCACCACAUACCGCCGCACUGCUGCCUGAGCGAAAGCCGCGACGAGGCGGAGCAGAUCAUCUUCGCCACCAUCGACGACCUGCUCGCCAAGACGGGCAUAAGCCCCGAUGCGAUCGACAUACUCGUCACCAACUGCAGCGGCUUCACCCCGACACCAACCUUCACCGACAUCAUGGUGAACAAAUACAAGCUCCGAGGCGACAUCCGGAACGUCAACAUGUCCGGGAUGGGGUGCAGCGCCGGGGUGAUCUCCCUCGAUGUGGCAAGGAGCCUCCUGCAAGCGGCGCCGCGGGGCGCGCACGCCCUUGUGGUGUCCAUGGAGAUCACCUCCUUCAUAUACUACACCGGACCGGACCGGACCAUGCUGCUGCCAGGUGCGCUCUUCCGGAUGGGCGCGGCAGCGGUGCUGCUGUCCACGUCCAGGGCCAAGUCCCGGCUCCGGCUCACACACAUCGUGCGAACGCUCACCGCCGCCAAGGAUAGAGCCUACCUGUGUGCGUCGCUCAAGGAGGACGAGCAUGGAGAGACGGGGAUAUACCUGUCCAAGGACCUCGUGCCCGUUGCCGGAGAAACGCUCAAGGCCAACAUCGCCUCGUUAGGGUCCGUCGUCCUCCCGCCGUCCGAGAAGCUGCUCUUUGCGCUAUCCUUCAUCGCCCGGAAGGCGCUGGGCAGGAGGAUCAAGCUGUACGUGCCUGAUUUCCGCAUGGCCUUCGAGCACUUUUGCGUCCAUUCCGGCGGCCGGGCGGUGAUCGAUGCGGUGCAGACCAGCCUGUGCCUGUCGGAUGAGAACGUUGAGCCAUCACGGAUGACGCUUCACCGGUUUGGGAACACGUCCAGCACCUCGCUGUGGUACGAGCUGGCGUACAUCGAGGCCAAGGGACGGAUGCGGAAGGGUGACCGCGUGUGGAUGGUUGGCUUCGGCUCUGGCUUCAAGUGCAACAGCGCCGUGUGGGAGUGCAUAAGGUCGCCCAGCGACGUCACCACUCUUGGCGCGCCCUGGGCUGAUUCCAUCCAUCAGUACCCUGUGAAGAUCUAG
rnacentral:rRNA from 1 species